UACGGAGGAUGCGAGCGUUAUCCGGAUUUAUUGGGUUUAAAGGGUGCGCAGGCGGCGUGUCAAGUCAACGGUGAAAUGUCGGGGCUCAACCCCGGCCGGCCGUUGAAACUGGCGUGCUCGAGUUGGAGAGAAGUAUGCGGAAUUCGUGGUGUAGCGGUGAAAUGCAUAGAUAUCACGGAGAACCCCGAUUGCGAAGGCAGCAUACCGGCUCCACACUGACGCUGAGGCACGAAAGCGUGGGUAUCGAACAGG
rnacentral:rRNA from 1 species